rnacentral:rRNA from 1 species
AGAACGAACGCUGGCGGCAGGCUUAACACAUGCAGGUCGAACGCCCCGCAAGGGGAGUGGCAGACGGGUGAGUAACGCGUGGGAAUCUACCUGGUUCUACGGAAUAACUGAGGGAAACUUCAGCUAAUACCGUAUACGCCCCAAGGGGGAAAGAUUUAUCGGUGCCAGAUGAGCCCGCGUUGGAUUAGCUAGUUGGUGGGGUAAUGGCCUACCAAGGCGACGAUCCAUAGCUGGUCUGAGAGGAUGAUCAGCCACACUGGGACUGAGACACGGCCCAGACUCCUACGGGAGGCAGCAGUGGGGAAUAUUGGACAAUGGGCGAAAGCCUGAUCCAGCCAUGCCGCGUGAGUGAUGAAGGCCUUAGGGUUGUAAAGCUCUUUCAGUGGGGAAGAUAAUGACGGUACCCACAGAAGAAGCCCCGGCUAACUUCGUGCCAGCAGCCGC